rnacentral:rRNA from 1 species
AAUGGGCGAAAGCCUGAUGCAGCGACGCCGCGUGAGUGAUGACGUAUUUCGGUAUGUAAAGCUCUAUCAGCAGGGAAGAUAAUGACGGUACCUGACUAAGAAGCCCCGGCUAACUACGUGCCAGCAGCCGCGGUAAUACGUAGGGGGCAAGCGUUAUCCGGAUUUACUGGGUGUAAAGGGUGCGUAGGUGGUAUGAUAAGUCAGAAGUGAAAGGUGAGGGCUCAACCCUUAGACUGCUUUUGAAACUAUCAAACUAGAGUGCAGGAGAGGUAAGUGGAAUUCCUAGUGUAGCGGUGAAAUGCGUAGAUAUUAGGAGGAACACCAGUGGCGAAGGCGGCUUACUGGACUGUAACUGACACUGAGGCACGAAAGCGUGGGGAGCAAA